UACGUAGGGGGCAAGCGCUGUCCGGAUUUAUUGGGCGUAAAGAGCUCGUAGGCGGUUUGGUAAGUCUGGUGUGAAAUCUCCACGCUCAACGUGGAGGGGCCACCCGAUACUGCCAUGACUGGAGUCCGGUAGAGGAGUGUGGAAUUCCCGGUGUAGCGGUGAAAUGCGCAGAUAUCGGGAAGAACACCUAUGGCGAAGGCAGCUCUCUGGGACGGUACUGACGCUGAGACGCGAAAGCGUGGGGAGCAAACAGG
rnacentral:rRNA from 1 species